rnacentral:misc_RNA from 1 species
ACCUUGACGUUAGAAGAUAAUAUAAAUUUUUGAGUAGCAUUUUUUGUCUUUUAACGUCAGGAUGUCUAUUAAGAGUGUAUGGUGUUGGA